rnacentral:rRNA from 1 species
AGUGAACGCUGGCGGUAGGCCUAACACAUGCAAGUCGAACGGCAGCACAGUAAGAGCUUGCUCUUACGGGUGGCGAGUGGCGGACGGGUGAGGAAUACAUCGGAAUCUACUUUUUCGUGGGGGAUAACGUAGGGAAACUUACGCUAAUACCGCAUACGACCUACGGGUGAAAGCAGGGGAUCUUCGGACCUUGCGCGAUUGAAUGAGCCGAUGUCGGAUUAGCUAGUUGGCGGGGUAAAGGCCCACCAAGGCGACGAUCCGUAGCUGGUCUGAGAGGAUGGUCGGCCACACUGGAACUGAGACACGGUCCAGGCUCCUACGGGAGGCAGCAGUGGGGAAUAGUGGACAAUGGGCGCAAGCCUGAUCCAGCCAUACCGCGUGGGUGAAGAAGGCCUUCGGGUUGUAAAGCCCUUUUGUUGGGAAAGAAAAGCAGCAGGUUAAUACCCCGCUGUUCUGACGGUACCCAAAGAAUAAGCACCGGCUAACUUCGUG